CGCACAUUGCGCCCCCUGGCAUUCCGGGGGGCAUGCCUGUCCGAGCGUCAUUGCUAACCCUCCAGCCCGGCUGGUGUGUUGGGCCGCCGUCCCCCCCCCCGGGGGACGGGCCCGAAAGGCAGCGGCGGCGUCCCGUCCGGUCCUCGAGCGUAUGGGGCUUUGUCACACGCUUCAGUAGAACCGGCCGGCUUGCUGGCCACACGACCUUCACGGUCACCUAUAUUUCUCUUAGGUUGACCUCGGAUCAGGUAGGGAUACCCGCUGAACUUAAGCAUAUCAAUAAGCGGAGGAAAAGAAACCAACAGGGAUUGCCCCAGUAACGGCGAGUGAAGCGGCAAGAGCUCAAAUUUGAAAUCUGGCCCCUCCGGGGUCCGAGUUGUAAUUUGCAGAGGAUGCUUCGGGCGCGGUCCCCGUCUAAGUACCCUGGAACGGGUCGUCAUAGAGGGUGAGAAUCCCGUCUGGGACGGGUGGCCGUGUCCGUGUGAAGCUCCUUCGACGAGUCGAGUUGUUUGGGAAUGCAGCUCUAAAUGGGUGGUAAAUUUCAUCUAAAGCUAAAUAUUGGCCGGAGACCGAUAGCGCACAAGUAGAGUGAUCGAAAGAUGAAAAGCACUUUGAAAAGAGAGUUAAACAGCACGUGAAAUUGUUGAAAGGGAAGCGCUUGCGACCAGACUCGCCCGCGGGGGUUCAGCCGGUACUCGUACCGGUGUACUCCCCCGGGGG
rnacentral:rRNA from 1 species